rnacentral:rRNA from 1 species
UACGUAGGUGGCAAGCGUUAUCCGGAAUUAUUGGGCGUAAAGCGCGCGUAGGCGGUCUUUUAAGUCUGAUGUGAAAGCCCACGGCUCAACCGUGGAGGGUCAUUGGAAACUGGGGGACUUGAGUGCAGAAGAGGAAAGUGGAAUUCCAAGUGUAGCGGUGAAAUGCGUAGAUAUCGGGAGGAACACCGGUGGCGAAGGCGGCUUUCUGGCCAGUUACUGACGCUCAUGCGCGAAAGCUGGGGUAGCGAACCGGAUUAGAUACCCUGGUAGUCCCUGA